GAAUUCAAUUUCUCUCUCAAUUUCUGUAGUGUAGGCCCUAUACCCGGGCAUUAUACCCCCCUUAAUUAGCGAAGCUCUGCCUCGUUGUAAGUAUCAUAACCCCUGGAUACGUAUUAGAUACUCUGCCCGAUUGAUUUAGGGUUCCGAAACGGCUGUCGUGGUUCUGCCCGACGUAGUCGUUGGAAUGCCGUCUCGGGGAAGGCAUUACUAAUGUUAAAAUGGGUUAUUAUACUAACACGUGUAACUUAGUGUGAAGCCAAUAAAAGCCAGCUGGAGAGCACUGAAGGCUUGGAAAAGUGGCAAUAAAGUUAACUAAAAUAAAAUAGAUGUUUUUAUUAAAUAAAAUAGGAUUUAUUCCUAU
rnacentral:lncRNA from 1 species